CGCGUAGGUACGUGCCUCUUAGUUUGGGAUAAGCAUUGGAAACGAUGUCUAAUACCGGAUGUGAUCUUCGGAUUAAAGUCUUCGGACGCUAAGAGAUCGGCCUGCGUCGCAUUAGCUAGUUGGUGAGGUAACUGCUCACCAAGGCAACGAUGCGUAGCGGAUCUGAGAGGGUGAUCCGCCACACUGGGACUGAGAUACGGCCCAGACUCCUACGGGAGGCAGCAGUGAGGAAUAUUGCACAAUGGACGAAAGUCUGAUGCAGCAAUACCGCGUGAACGAAGAAGGUCUAUGGAUUGUAAA
rnacentral:rRNA from 1 species